GACGAACGCUGGCGGCGUGCUUAACACAUGCAAGUCGAACGGAAAGGCCCCCAUCUUGGUGGGGGUGCUCGAGUGGCGAACGGGUGAGUAACACGUGGGUGAUCUGCCCUGUACUUCGGGAUAAGCUUGGGAAACUGGGUCUAAUACCGGAUAGGACCAUGGUUUAGUGUCUCAUGGUGGAAAGAUUAUUGUUUUGGUGCAGGAUGAGCUCGCGGCCUAUCAGCUUGUUGGUGGGGUAAUGGCCUACCAAGGCGUCGACGGGUAGCCGGCCUGAGAGGGUGGACGGCCACAUUGGGACUGAGAUACGGCCCAGACUACUACGGGAGGCAGCAGUGGGGAAUAUUGCACAAUGGGCGCAAGCCUGAUGCAGCGACGCCGCGUGGGGGAUGACGGCCUUCGGGUUGUAAACUCCUUUCGUUAGGGACGAAGCCGCACUUUUUUUGGGUGUGGUGACGGUACCUUUGUUAAGAAGCACCGGCUAACUACGUG
rnacentral:rRNA from 1 species